AGAGCUGACGGGGCGCUUCCUUCAACCCAAUAAAUGGCUGUGUAGGGAUGAUUCAACUGCUGGUUCAUGGAUUCUAUUACAUUGUCACGUUGCUGGAGCUAUUUUUCGUGGCAAGAUAAUGGUGUACAUGACACAGGAGUGGGAAUGCCACUAUGCGGCGUUAUAUUGGAUUGAAGGGAGCUCCUCGCAGGCCUCGU
rnacentral:pre_miRNA from 1 species